GAUGAACGCUGGCGGCGUGCCUAAUACAUGCAAGUCGAGCGAACAGACGAGGAGCUUGCUCCUCUGACGUUAGCGGCGGACGGGUGAGUAACACGUGGAUAACCUACCUAUAAGACUGGGAUAACUUCGGGAAACCGGAGCUAAUACCGGAUAAUAUAUUGAACCGCAUGGUUCAAUAGUGAAAUACGGUUUUGCUGUCACUUAUAGAUUGAUCCGCGCCGCAUUAGCUAGUUGGUAAGGUAACGGCUUACCAAGGCAACGAUGCGUAGCCGACCUGAGAGGGUGAUCGGCCACACUGGAACUGAGACACGGUCCAGAAUCCUACGGGAGGCAGCAGUAGGGAAUCUUCCGCAAUGGGCGAAAGCCUGACGGAGCAACGCCGCGUGAGUGAUGAAGGUCUUCGGAUCGUAAAACUCUGUUAUUAGGGAAGAACAAAUGUGUAAGUAACUAUGCACGUCUUGACGGUACCUAAUCAGAAAGCCACGGCUAACUACGUG
rnacentral:rRNA from 1 species